rfam:Schistosoma margrebowiei strain Zambia genome assembly, scaffold: SMRZ_contig0001103
AUCCAGCUGACGAGUCCCAAAUAGAACGGAACUCGCGUCUUGAAU